UGGGGAAUAUUGCACAAUGGGCGCAAGCCUGAUGCAGCCAUGCCGCGUGUAUGAAGAAGGCCUUCGGGUUGUAAAGUACUUUCAGCGGGGAGGAAGGGAGUAAAGUUAAUACCUUUGCUCAUUGACGUUACCCGCAGAAGAAGCACCGGCUAACUCCGUGCCAGCAGCCGCGGUAAUACGGAGGGUGCAAGCGUUAAUCGGAAUUACUGGGCGUAAAGCGCACGCAGGCGGUUUGUUAAGUCAGAUGUGAAAUCCCCGGGCUCAACCUGGGAACUGCAUCUGAUACUGGCAAGCUUGAGUCUCGUAGCGGGGGGUAGAAUUCCAGGUGUAGCGGUGAAAUGCGUAUGGAUCUGGAGGAAUACCGGUGGCGAAGGCGGCCCCCUGGACGAAGACUGACGCUCAGGUGCGAAAGCGUGGGGAGCAAACAGG
rnacentral:rRNA from 1 species